UACGUAGGUGACAAGCGUUGUCCGGAUUUACUGGGCGUAAAGAGCGCGCAGGCGGUCGAUCAAGUCGAGUGUGAAAGCCCCCGGCUCAACUGGGAAGGGUCAUUCGAAACUGGUCGACUCGAAGGCAGGAGAGGGUAGUGGAAUUCCCGGUGUAGUGGUGAAAUGCGUAGAUAUCGGGAGGAACACCAGUGGCGAAGGCGACUACCUGGCCUGUUCUUGACGCUGAGGCGCGAAAGCUAGGGGAGCAAACGGG
rnacentral:rRNA from 1 species